rnacentral:lncRNA from 1 species
AUUUUAACUUAUUUUUGCAUGAGUUAUGCACUUUUAUUCCAUUUUUAUGAAUUAAAUUUUUACGUUUAUAUCGAUCUAAUUAUUGAUAUGGUUUAUUUUGGUUUAUCAUGAUCUUUUACAAAAUGUUUAUAAGUAUUAUUGUUUAUUAUUUGUUAAUGUUGUUUAUAUUUUACAAAUAUCUUUCACACAUUGUUGUUUUUAUUUUCGUGAACAUUGUAUUUGGUGGAUUUUGGCCCAGGCGAAUAUUGUAUGACGAAAUCAAUGAUCUAGAACGAAGCAAAUCCGCCGUAAUUGUGGCGAAAUCGUUCAUUAUCGCCACAGUUAGGUGAUUAGCGGUUAUUAAGAUAAAAGGUACAAUUCGUUAAUAAUUUUUAUCGAGAAAGCUCGAGAAACCAGAGUUUUCCCAGUCUUUUUCUUAGUAACAACUCGUUGGUUCAGAGUUUUUGAAAAUUACUAGAGUUUCAGCAACUCUAAUUAUGCACGUUGUUAGAUUCUCGAAAAAACGAAUAACGUUAUAAUGAGCAAUUUUCCCCGGUCCGGUGAUGAUUGUUAUAAUUGAGUUUUAUUGACCUAUAUUUUGUUUUUCAUCUUUAAAAAUGAUUUUUUUUUACAAUGAAAUAUAAAAAUAAAAUUACCACUGUACCACAUAGCAUCAGUCAUUUCAGAUCACACUAUCUAUUUCGGAAUGAUCAUUGCCUGUACAUUAUGGCAGGACACUGAUACUCAUCGAUGGCGAUACUUUAAAGCGAGGAUUGUGUAAAAUUGAUUGUGUGUUAAACUAGUGUCUGUUAAGAUGAAUAUAUUUGCAUUUAAUUAAAAAUCCGGAAUUGUAAAGUCUGCAUUAGGAAAAUUCCUUUCAAAAAGAAAAAUAAAAUAGCAAAUGCAAAUUAC